AUACGAAGGUCCCAAGCGUUAUUCGGAAUCACUGGGCGUAAAGAGUACGGAGGCGGUUUGGUAAGUCAGGUGUGAAAUCCCGAAGCUCAACUUCGGAACUGCAUCCGAUACUGCCAGACUAGAGUAAUGGAGAGGCAGGUGGAAUUCUCGGUGUAGCAGUGAAAUGCGUGGAUAUCGAGAGGAAGACCAAUGGCGAAGGCAGCCUGCUGGACAUUUACUGACGCUGAGGUACGAAGGCUAGGGGAGAGAAAGGGAUUAGAAACCCCAGUAGUCC
rnacentral:rRNA from 1 species